rnacentral:rRNA from 1 species
UACGAGAGGCCCAAACGUUAUUCGGAUUUACUGGCUUAAAGAGUUCGUAGGCCGCGCGGAAAGUAGGGUGUGAAAGCCCUCGGCUCAACCGAGGAACUGCGCUCUAAACUACCGUGCUUGAGGAACCUAGAGGUGAGCAGAACUGAUGGUGGAGCGGUGAAAUGCGUUGAUAUCAGCAGGAAUACCGGAGGCGAAGGCGGCUCACUGGGGGUUUUCUGACGCUGAGGAACGAAAGCCAGGGGAGCAAACGGG